ensembl:lncRNA
CCCCGGGCCACUCACCCCCACCUGCCGCAUCUGUGGUCUAACAGCUGUGGAGGGUGAGCAGAGACGUUAAGCCCUAAUGUCUCCAGGUUCUUAACAGCUGGGAGCUCUCUCUGUUGCCUGGUGGUUUCCAGCCUUUCUUCUGGAAUGUUCAGCUGACAACAUCUCUAUCAGCUGUGAGUGCCCAGAGGCUGAGGACUGACAGAGGUGAAGCAAGACCAGCUCAGUCACACCUUCCACACUUCAGGGAAACCAACCAUCCCCGUGACUUCAGGGCCUUCCAGUCCUCUGGGCUCCCGACUUGCCGUCCCUUCUCCUUCACCCCCGGCUCUGCAGUGACCCCAGCACAUGUGUCCUGGAGCCAGUACUGUCCUGGAAGCCUGUGUAUCAGAUGUGAUGUCAGGUAACUGGAGAGGGUGCCCAUGGGUGAAGGUGCCUUCCUAACACAGGCUGCUGGAGAGCACCCACAUUACACCUGCAGGGGUGGAGGUCUGAGUUCUGUCAGUGUCCGCAGGGGCCAGGAAUUCAGCACUAGGUUUCCAAACUUUAUUUGGUCCUAGCUGAAUUUGCUGACACCUACUUUGGGAGGUGAGGCUGCCAUAUAGCCUAUUUGUCUUUCCGUCCACAUCCUACACUAUUUUUCCUGACACUGCUACCCACAUCCCACCUUCUAAUUAAAAUAAAAAUUGUAGUAAAAAAA